rnacentral:rRNA from 1 species
AGCGAACGCUGGCGGCAGGCCUAACACAUGCAAGUCGAACGGAUCCUUCGGGAUUAGUGGCGGACGGGUGAGUAACACGUGGGAACGUGCCCUUUGGUUCGGAACAACUCAGGGAAACUUGAGCUAAUACCGGAUGUGCCCUUCGGGGGAAAGAUUUAUCGCCAUUGGAACGGCCCGCGUCUGAUUAGCUAGUUGGUGAGGUAACGGCCCACCAAGGCGACGAUCAGUAGCUGGUCUGAGAGGAUGAUCGGCCACACUGGGACUGAGACACGGCCCAGACUCCUACGGGAGGCAGCAGUGGGGGAUCUUGCGCAAUGGGCGAAAGCCUGACGCAGCCAUGCCGCGUGAAUGAUGAAGGUCUUAGGAUUGUAAAAUUCUUUCAGCGGGGACGAUAAUGACGGUACCCGCAGAAGAAGCUCCGGCUAACUUCGUG